CCCGCUGAACUUAAGCAUAUCAAUAAGCGGAGGAAAAGAAACUAACAAGGAUUCCCCUAGUAACGGCGAGUGAAGCGGGAAGAGCUCAAAUUUAAAAUCUGGCAGUCUUUGAUUGUCCGAGUUGUAAUCUAGAGAAGCGUUUUCCGCGCUGGACUGUGUACAAGUUUCCUGGAUACGGAACAUCAUAGAGGGUGAGAAUCCCGUCCUUGACACAGACUCCCUAGUGCUUUGUGAUGCGCUCUCGACGAGUCGAGUUGUUUGGGAUUGCAGCUCAAAAUGGGAGGUAAAUUCCUUCUAAAGCUAAAUAUUGGCGAGAGACCGAUAGCGAACAAGUACCGUGAGGGAAAGAUGAAAAGCACUUUGGAAAGAGAGUGAAACAGUACGUGAAAUUGUUGAAAGGGAAACGCUUGAAGUCAGUCGCGUCGUCCGAGACUCAGCCUCGCCUCGGCUUGGUGUACUUCUCGGCCGACGGGUCAGCAUCAAUUUUGCCCCUUGGAUAAUGGCGAGGGAAAUGUGACACCUUUACGGGUGUGUUAUAGUCUCUCGUCGCAUGCAAGGGUCGGGAUUGAGGAACUCGGCACGCGCCUUCGGGUGUCGGGGUUUUGCCCACGAUACGUGCUUAGGAUGUUGGCGUAAUGGCUUUAAACGACCCGUCUUGAAACACGG
rnacentral:rRNA from 1 species